rnacentral:rRNA from 1 species
CGGACGGGUGAGUAACGCGUAGGAAUCUACCCAGUAGUGGGGGACAACAUGGUGAAAACCAUGCUAAUACCGCAUACGCCCCAAGGGGGAAAGCGGGGGAUCUUCGGACCUCGCGCUAUUGGAUGAGCCUGCGUAGGAUUAGCUUGUUGGUGAGGUAAAAGCUCACCAAGGCGACGAUCCUUAGCUGGUCUGAGAGGAUGAUCAGCCACACUGGGACUGAGACACGGCCCAG